rnacentral:lncRNA from 10 species
GAAGGACAUGAAGUAAUUUAAGAGAUCAUAGAUGACAGCACAUAAAACGUGACUCAAAGCUGUACCAGCAGCCGACCUCUGAAGGUAGCUGUUUCCUCCUCAAGAUGAACAGUUCUGAAAACCAAUGGAAGCUAACAGCCAAGAUGUGCAGUUUUCAACUUACACAGUUACUUGGGACUUUUUAAAAAUAUGUUUUCAUCUUGGCAUAUUAAUAAGGACGACAAAGAAACAAAUUAGUAAAAAGGAAUGUCACAUUUAAAACACUUAAGGAAAAAGAAAAAUAAGACUAUUACCAAGAAGGCAGUGGUUAUAAGCGUACUUAUUCUUGGUCUGGAAUACUAGAAACAGUAAUGAAGGCACAGGGAAACAAGCUGAGAAGGGAAAGACUGGUGUAAGACUGGUGUAAGUAGUGUGCAUUCACAUCAGUUCAUCUUGAUGAUUCAACCUGUACAGUACUAAAAUUGUUGGGAAAACUAUUUUGAUGACUAAAACUUUUUUUGUUACAUUGGUGUAUAUUAACGCAGAGAAUAAUGACUGUGAAACAAAUCCAUGUUUUACUUUAAUAUCAUCAAGAUUGGUUUUAAACCGGUUUCGAUUGCUAUGGAUAUGAGAAAGAUAUUUCAGGUAGUAUUCCCUACUGAAUGAUCA